rnacentral:lncRNA from 1 species
AGUUUGCGAGCAAAAAAACACGUAGACUAGAACCCCUUAACCCUCAAACCUUCAAAAAAGUUUAAGGGUCCAACCCUCAAACCCCCUCCCAACCUGUAGAAGUGAGGGUUGGGGAGUGAAAACUAACCCAACCCGCACUUGUGUUCCGUCGUCACGCGGGAGGGACUUCUCCUCACUCUGAAUGCGCACGAAGGAAAAAUCAGCCCCGUCCCCUUCCUCCUGCCG